UGUCAUUACAGCACAAUUAAUUUUCCCUGCUCUAGUCUGUGCCAGGAGAAUAUCGGCUGCUGCUGAAGGAUGGGGAGCCGGAGGUUUGGGAAGGCAGGAGAGACUUCGGUGAUAUUUGAGUCAGUCAACAUCUUCUACAGUUCAAAACACCAGUCACCCUCUUCCCACUCGGCAUAACACAGGACUCGGGAUCUGCGGAAAUUAUUCAUCUGCAUCAGAAAGAACUUGAAGGAGCAGUAAGAGAUUGAUCCCUGACAGCUGCACUAAACUUGAAAGCCCCUUCCUGGCUCUGAAGAAGGAGAAUUCUGACCUGAAAAGGGGUCUUGAGUGAGCAGCCUCAAAGGGAAUAAAAUAUCAGCCUGUAAAACCAGCAGUCACUAGAAAACUCAGGUGAUCUUUUAAUGUAGGUACACCUCUAGCCUCAGGCACAGCCGACAUAAUUACCUGCCACCCAGUAUUUCAGCCCAGGGGCUGUGCUUCACUUCCUUUGCCCCAAACACUGAGGGAGCCUCCAGAAAGGGGCUGCCAGUCCUUCUGUAGCCACCAGGCCCUGUAGCACAAUGUACAAUGUGUAGUUUAGCCUCACAUCCCAUGCAUAUUGCCGUGCCAUUAUCAUUAUCCUUUCUUAUCGACUCAGCUCCAGCUAGGGCUGCAUCUGUGCUGGGUAACAUCGCUAAUAAAUCAGAGGAAAGCACUCCCACUGAUCAGCACCACUGCUCAUUACAAAGGUUACACAUUUCCAAACACAGGUAAAAUUUAUCCUGAAAGCAGGCAGGAGAGGGGGGAGAGAAAAAGAGAGAAGCAUUCUAAUGGUUUCUGUGUGUCUGGAUUGAAGGCACUUGAGACAGUAGUUCAUGUUCGGACUCAAGUGUUUAUUAUUUCUCAUCAGUAAAACAGUCUCACUACUGUGAGUAAGGCACAAAAUGGCUAACAAUCUCUUGUUACAAGGUCUUUUAAGACUAAACUAUCCAAUUAAGAAAGGACACCUAGAUUAUUUUCCCUUGUAAUCCACUAACUGAUCUCUAGAAGCCCACAAUGCAGACUUUUCUGUCUAGUUACAAAAUGCCACCUAAGCUCAUGAAGAAGGAAGAAGCAUGAAGAAGAAACCCAGGAUGACACCCUGUGCCCUCCAUCUUUCUUCCAUCCACAACACACUAAAAAUCCCAAAACCUAAAUUUCUCACUUAAGUGAUACACCUACACUACUCUCUACAAUCUAUUUCACACUUUAGUGGAUUCUGGUCUAUCUUGAAGUCUAGGAAACUUUCUCCAUAAAUGAGGGUCAAAGUCAGUGCUCCCCUGGGGAUCAGGACACCCCAGAGCAGACAGAGAGAUAUUCCCAGCGCCCUGGGUUUCCACAGCCUUCAUUUAUCCAACUGCAACUAUGUCCAGAAACCCUUGGAAGCAAGAAAAGGACAUUCACGGGCACACCAAGCAUUUCCUGCUGCCAAGAUAUGUGCUGGCGAAGGAGGGAGGUUACCAGGGCACAGCCACCCAUUGUCAUGCAAAUGUGCCGAGUUAUUGAAGGCACUUCCCAGCAACAGCCGCAUUUUUUCACGAGUUUGAUCCCGGCAUUGAAAGGAGAACAAAACAACUGCAUGAACGUGAAGCAGCAUUAGCUUGAGCCAGAAUCACCAGCUAUCCCAGCCCCUGCGAGCACCGAACCUGCCUUUGGUGAAUUCCAGAGGCUCUGCUGCUCUUUAUUUAAAUGGGAAUGGGGAAAGAAACCGGCCGUGAGCCCCGAGAAACACGUGAGGUGCUUUUUAACUACACUGUGUUUCAUGGUCUGUAAGUGACACUGAAAACAGAGGGAGAAAGUGACACACACAGACAGCAUCGCUCCGAAAAAAACACGGUGCGCUUUUCAUCCACUUUUUGCUAUUUGGUAUUAGCUUGCAAGCAAUGAUUUUUGAGCUGAAAAUUAAAAUGCACAGUGGCAGAAAAUGCAACUGGAAACAAAUUGUUUUUAAGAAAAAAACAAACCAGCACAUGCUUGCAGCUCUACCUUUAUAAGUCCACAUAAUUUCUUGCCUUUUCUGAUUGUCACUGCUGCAGCUUGUUUUACUUUUUUUGCCCCUUUUCAGCUAAAGAAAUGGUUUCCAGCAGUGGCAAUGACUUAACAGCAGAAUAACUGGUGUUCAAUCUCCUUACCUGAAAUAAAUUACUAAGAGUUUUUGUUUGUUUUUUUUUUCACGGAGGUACCUGUAAAUAGAAACUGUCAAUCAGACAAAUUCAGGGGUAAAAGAUGGUUUACUUGCCUCCACAACAGAACCAGUCACACACCACCAAAGCCUUCAGAAUAAAGAGAUACCUAGCACUAA